GCUUCCUCCGACCUGCUCACAACUGAGCUGGUGAGUCCAGUCAGUCUACGUCAGAUGGUCGUCACAAAUUUGAGGAACCAGCCUUUAAGCAGCAGCCAUUUGGACUCUAUAAACAAUCAAAUCCUCUCCCUUUACCAUGACCUGGUUACGGGGUCCAAGGAGUUUCCUCAUAUUGCAGUCAGGGGAUUGUUUCACUCAGAGCAGAUGACGACAACUUUUACUGCUGUGCUGAAAAGUCAGAGGGAGAACACCACUCCAUCUCCUUCUACAAGCUCACCAGCUGGUAUGAUGGUGCUGCCUGCAGGGUGCCACUUACAUUCUCAGAUCCUGACUCCUGUACUUCCAGACAAGGUGGAUAUUUAUGCACUGAAUACAGACCGGAGGAACUGUGUCCACACCUUGGUGACGGCCUCAUCGUCACUAGAGUAAUCUCUGCUCUUGAUCGCACAGAAGACAGUGAGAUGACAAACCACUGGAGAGUCACGGACUACAGCUCAGAGGCAGAGUUAUCAUGUCGGAGUUCUGCCAGUUUCUAAAGACGUUUAGACAGGGUGCGAAGAGAGAGGCUACAGAGGACGAGAGCAGGAGCCCCACUCCACCAAGGAAACUGAAGCCUUCCCUGGAGAACUUAUUUUCUCAAGACUCUUUAAGUUUUAAGACUUUGGCAUUGAUUCCAUCAACUGCGUUGGACAUAUGGCAGGGCUGUGACUGGAUGUUGAACCAGGGACAUCUAUUGUAGAGCCAACUGUAAAUCGGUGCAAAAUGAAGUAAGGAUCCAUAAAGACAGUGCCAAGUGGAUCGGCAAGAAUCAAGAAAGUGGUGAGGAAUAAGUAAUGUUUAAUGUUGUCUCUAAAAUGUCCCAAAAUGUUAGAAAACAUCUUUAAAUUUUAACUUUUAUUGUUGCUUUUCCGCUUUUUGCUUUUAAAAGUCAGAAGGGGAAAAAAGAGAAACCACACAAAAGAAUUUCUCUCAUUAAAUUACACUGAUUUUUUUUUUUAUAUUUUUUUUUAUUAAAGAUGCCAGCUUUUCAUUUUUCAUUUCCGGUUCUGGUCUCUUCACUGUGCUGUGCUCCACCACUCCUGCAACCUAGAACUGGUCUAGUAACUUGUGUCUUACAGUAACAUAAGUGCUACAUAGGGGCUUUAGCUGUCUAGCUCAAAUUUCUCUCUACGAUGUAGGGUUUGGAUUUUCUCUCCUAAACUGAUCGUCUGGCAGUCUCCGCCGGUCGAUCUGCCUGAGUGUAUGUUUUUCUGUUUUGUUUUGGCUCCCCUGCCUUCUCCUGUAUGUGUGUUUUCCAGUGUGCCAGUUUAUGGGCGUCAUCAGGCCAGAAGGUCUUUCCCACGCUGAAGCCAGCCACACCUGUCUUUCAUCUAGAUUCCAGGUGCUGCUGAUCACUUUCGCAAAGUGGUUACUAAACUGUUUGACUGAGCUUGAGUCAACGCUGGAUCGUUCAGUUAUCGAAAGUUCUGUUCAAAAACCAUCAACAGAAUCAUUCCAACAAUGUGAACCUGAAGCUGUCACUGCAACUCUACUAAUGCCCAGUUUGUAACAACAGACAUGAUGCCUCAUGCUACAAAACAGCCCUAAGAGAUGCAGUUAAAUGUGGCCUCAAAGUCCAAAAAACCGCACACAUAUCAUACAGUUGGGCAAACUUGUCGACACUGUUCUUCAGAGGAUAAAGUGCUGGUGCCGUGUUCCACCACCAGACUUCCAAACUAUGUUGCAGAGAUGUGCAAACCAGGAAAGCACAAGAGCCUUAAGGCCAUUUUCAGAACUUUUUUAAAUUGUAAUUCUAAGAAUCGUUUGGCACAUGGUGUUUUGGAAAUGUAAAUAAUGAUCAAAUGAUAACUACAACAGCGGCAUUAAUAAUAAUGUUACUAAGAGUUAUAGACCUUAAUUUCUUCUAAAUCUG
ensembl:lncRNA